rnacentral:rRNA from 1 species
AAACGAUGCCGAUGUCGUGGUGCCGAAAAAUGGCGACGCGAAAGAGAAAUCGAGUAGGGCCCUGGGGAGAGUACACGCGCAAGCGAGAAAUUUAAAGGAAAUUGACGGAAGAACACCACAAGGAGUGGAGUGUGCGGCUUAAUUUGACUCAACGCGGGACAACUUACCGGGCCCGACGACCGUAAGAGUGUGACACACGAUAGGUCGAAGAGUGGUGCAUGGCCGUUAACGACGAGUGGAGUGAUCUUUGGGUUAAGUCCGUAAAUUAGUGAGACCUCAGCCGUAAGGGACAGGUGCGCAAAGCACAGGAAGGAUGGGUCAAGGACAGGUCAGUGAUGCCCUUAGAUGGUCCGGGCUGC